GGGGUAACCUGGCCUUAAAGAGAUACAGAGCUGAGCUAAAUACUUUGGGAAAGGCAGAACAUGCCACUGAUCAUUGCCUUCUGCUAACUGUACUGAGUUUGCCAGGCAUAUGAUAAAAGGGAAAAGUAAAGAAGCUUUCAUUGCAUAGAUAUCAAGUACGUCAACAAGUGGGCGGUAAAGACUGGAAGGAUAUACCCAACAACAACUUGACGAGGUGCGCAUGGAGGUGGCCGACUACUUGCAGACCUUGUUGUAGAUUCUGACUAGGAUGGGGAUUUUGAGUAAGGCUAGAUAGCUUU